rnacentral:ncRNA from 1 species
UUCCGCUAGGGGCGCAUAUGCUGAGAUCGGUGAGCAUUCACCGGACCCUUAUAACUUGAACCGGAUAAUACCGGCGUAAGGAAGCUGAAAUGA